CACGAGUGAGAAGCAGUCCAGACCCUGUGAUAGAUGGAGAAAAAGUGAUAUUAAGCUGUUCAACUGAAUGCACUCUGGAUAACAAACAUACUUACAUCUGGUAUAAGAAUGGACAACAGGUAACAGAUGGAUUGACAUUAUUAAACAAGCUGUACCUGGACUCAAUCAACAGUGAGGAGCUACAAGAGUAUUCCUGUACUGUAAGAGAGAUAUGACACACCCUGAACUUGUGGACUUCCUCAGAGUCGACACGUUGAUGACAUCAUGUAGUGCAGACUUUAGGGACCCUUGCACACAAGGGCACACCAGAGCCGUGUUUUGGAACAGACUCGAGCGUCAUGCCGAAAAUAAGAAGAGAAGUUGCCCAUCAGUGUGUCUGAUGUAAAUGAGCUUUUUUAUUAAUCUGUCACAGCUCCAGAUUGUCUGCCAGCCUUUAAGCUCAUUUACACCCUGCUUAUUUUUAGACCCACAUGAGUUGCAUUGGAAAGUCUGAAAGGAAGUUUUCAUCAGCUCAAUUUAAUACUUUUUAUAGGUUUUAAAUGAAUUACAUUCAUUUCUUAAUAGUUUCUCCAAAUACCAAUUUAGAAAAUAUAAAACAUAUGCAGAUUA